GCGAUCCAUGAAAAAAUUGAUUCUAAACUCGUUUCAAAAGUAGGGGGCGCCAGCGUUUCGUUUCUGAUGUCAUUUCCGAAUUUUGCCCCCCCCAAAAAUUCGAAAUUAACGAAAAUUCGUUAUUUUCUAAAUUAAUUCGUUAAUGGCGGACGCGCAUGCGCAGUGGCCAAAAAAAAACAGCACGAGGGGAGAUUUUACAGGACUCUCCCGCCCUCAUUUUUUGAGUGAUCUUCUUCAAACAUGGUACAGUGGUAGAACACAUUUAAUACUGAUAGCUCACCAAAAUUUGGAAUGUUUCCCUUAUCCUCUGAUUUUUGGCGAAUUUUCAUAGCUUUUAUAAUAAACCAUUUUUUAAUAAUUGCAGAAAUCUGUUCCUGGUUUGAAAGUCUUAUUUCCUGUUUCAUUGGGUUGUCUUUACUGUGAAAGUCAUUGUUCUACUUCAGAAACUUUGUUUUUGUGGCUGAAACUUUGUUAAAUUGGUGGACCAAACCAUAAUAUGUUCCAUCCAUGUCGCUUGCACAAAGUUCAGGCAGUGUCAUAGAUUUUGCCAUGUUUCUAUGACAGAACCAAUUAGGAAAUGACAUUUAUCACCCAGGAACAGAAAUCAUAGUACACCAUCAAAUCCUUCCUGACAGAUGGCCAUCAGCCUCUGAAUAAGGAAAUUAGUUCCUGGUUUGAAAGUGCUAUUUCCUGUUCCAUUGGCUUUUCUGGGCUGAGAGUGUGUGACUUGCCCAAGUGGGUGGCAGAGUGGGGAAUCAUGCCACAAUUGGAGUCCAAAAUUCAAACCUCUUCCUCCCUCCUUCUCUCUAAACUUCUCAUACCUUCCAAGAAUUCACAUACUGUAUGAAAGUUUGGUCAAGAUGGUCAGAGGAGGGCAACUAAAAUGAUCUAGGGUCUGGAGAACAAGCCCUAUGAGGAGUGGCUUGAAGAACUGGGCAUGUUUAGCCUGCAGAAAAGAAGGCUGAGAGGAGACAUGAUGUAUAAUAUGUGAGGGGAAGUCAUAGAGAGGAGGGAGCAAGCUUGUUUUCUGCUGCCCUGCAGACUAGGAUGCGGAACAAUGGCUUUAAACUACAGGAAAGGAGAUUUCACCUGAACAUUAGGAAGAACUUCCUCACUGUGAGCUGUUCAGCUGUGGAACUCUCUCCCCGGGCUGUGGUGGAGGUUUCUUCUUUGGAGGCUUUUAAGCAGAGGCUGGAUGGCCAUCUGUUGGGAGGGAUUGGAUGGUGUCUUCCUGCCUGGCAGAAGGGGUUGGGCUGGAUGGCCCACGAGGUCUCUUCCAACUCUACUGUUCAAUGACGCUAUGAUUCUAAGUGAGGACAAAAGGGGGUGGGGAAUGUUAAGAGGAGAGAGGGCCUGGAACACCUGGGAAUUGUAGUUUGCAAGUGGGCAUAGUACUAUUGGAGAAACGUUUGCUUCAGCCCAAUGCUUUUAUAAAUGGUCAAUAUUCAGAGGCUUCGUUCUCCUGCAUUUUGAAAGCUAUUAUGAUGAAAUUUGCCAGAAUGGAAGCAAAAAUUAAGUACUCUUAGCCUAUCAAGUUUCAUAAUGUUUGACCCAUCCACUGAUUUUUGGGGAUUUCUGAAGCAACAUUUUUUUAAAAUGUUAGCAGAUCGAUAGCCACGCCUCCCUGUCCUUCUUCCUUCCACUUUGAUUGGCUUGCUAAGGCUUCUGGGAAAUGGAGUUUUUUCUCUCGUUAUGGCGAAUUGCUUCAUUAAUGGUCAAUAUUCAGAGUCUUCGUUCUCCUGCAUUAUGAAAGCUAUUAUGAUGAAAUUUGCCAGAAUGGAAGCAAAAAUUAAGUACUCUUUGCCUAUCAAGUUUCAUAAUGUUUGACCCAUCCACUGAUUUUUGGGGAUUUUUGAAGCAACAUUUUUUUUUAAAUGCUAGCAGAUCGAUGGCCAUGCCUCUCCCUUAGGCAUGCCAACAUGGCUUCUCCUCUCAGAGGGGCUACAGCUUCAUCCGAAGACAUCAGAAACAAACGAAAAAAGCUUCGUGGUUCCUGAGUUCGGUUUGGCUCCUGACGACGACAACGUUCCUUCCUGGCUUGGCGUUCCUGACUUCCCUUGGCUCCUGAAUUCGGUUUGGCUCCUGACGACGACAACGUUCCUUCCUGGCUUGGCGUUCCUGGCUUCCCUUGGCUCCUGAAUUCGGUUUGGCUCCUGACGACGACAACGUUCCUUCCUGGCUUGGCGUUCCUGACUUCCCUUGGCUCCUGAAUUCGGUUUGGCUCCUGACGACGACAACGUUCCUUCCUGGCUUGGCGUUCCUGGCUUCCCUUGGCUCCUGAAUUUGGUUUGGCUCCUGAUGACGACAACGUUCCUUCCUGGCUUGGCGUUCCUGGCUUCCCUUGGCUCCUGAAUUCGGUUUGGCUCCUGACGACGACAACGUUCCUUCCUGGCUUGGCGUUCCUGGCUUCCCUUGGCUCCUGAAUUCGGUUUGGCUCCUGACGACGACAACGUUCCUUCCUGGCUUGGCGUUCCUGACUUCCCUUGGCUCCUGAAUUCGGUUUGGCUCCUGACGACGACAACGUUCCUUCCUGGCUUGGCGUUCCUGGCUUCCCUUGGCUCCUGAAUUUGGUUUGGCUCCUGAUGACGACAACAUUCGCUCCUGGCUUGGCAUUCCUGGCUUCUCCUUGAUUCCUGAAUUCGGUUUGGCUCCUGACGGCAGCGUUGCCCGUUCCUGGCUUGGCAUUUGCUGGCUCCCUUCUGGUUCCUGAAUUCGGCUUGGCUUCUGACGACGGCAUUGUUACUCCCGGUUGGCUUUCCUUUGGGUUUCUGGAUUCGGCUUGGCUUUUGGACAACAGUAUCGCUUGCUCUCGCUACUGGUGGGCGUUUGGCCCUUCCUUGGCUCUCUGUGCUAGAGCGGGGCGUGACUCUAGUUCCAGUGAACGUUUGGUUGAAAUUAAGCCAGAUUAUCAGGCUAGAUAAUCCGGAUUAUUUACUGUUCCUCUUUUUUGCCUUUUCUUGAAACAAAGACAUUUACCUUUACUGGGAACACUGAAGUUAAGUGUUUCUAGGUUCUAAAUAUCAUUUAAUAAACAUUUGUUAACUCUAA